CGCAGGGACAGUGCUAGGGGGACUUCACACGGAGGAAUGAGGGGUGGGAUGCAGUGACAUCACAAGGGUCCCAUUAUGACCCCUCCUCCAUCAGCUAAGGGGGGAUGGGCUGAGCCUGAACAGAGGGAGAGGGGAGUAAAUAAGGGGCUGUUGCCAGAGCCUGAGCCCACCAGAGAAAGUCUGUGUGCAGAGGGAGGGCCUCAGGUCCUGCUGCUCCUUCAUCUUGACCCCUUCACACCCUCCUCUAACAGGGACCUCGACCUCCCUUCUCCACUCUCCUGGAUCCUGCUCAGUGUGGUGCAGGCCUUCUCUGGGGCCCUGGAGUUCCCACUGACCUUCAGCCCCGCCAGUUGCAUCUGCUGUUCCCACUGAAGGCUCUCAUGCUAGUCAGUUCCUGCCUGGGGUCACCAGACUGCUUCGAAGUCAGGAAGAACAUGGUGGGGACGGUGACUUGAGUUUCCUGGACCACAGUGCAGGUGUUCCCUUCUUCCCUCUGUCCUUGCUCAGCACGGUCACAACGACUCUCCAAAUCAUGAUGCUCAAAACGCCACAUCUAAAAAGAACAUCCGGGACAGGAGACGCACAGUUCCAACAGUUAUUGUAUACAUCACUGACCAUAUUAAUGACUCCAAUUAAACUUCAACAACAUGAAUAUACAACAAAUGAACAGAGAGAAAAGAUCAAAUUGGUGCUUCCAGAAGAUAGGGGCUGUGGUGAGAACAGAACUUCCUUUGCUGCGACAUGAACUGCUUCCUCAGAUGAUGGCUGGAUUCCUGUGAAUGUGGAUAAAGCAUUCUGUCAGUCCA
rnacentral:lncRNA from 10 species